rnacentral:snoRNA from 1 species
AAACCAUGAUUAGGACAUUUUCUCAACAGCACCUGGAAACGCUCCUAAGCUUCAUAAAAGGCUUCAUCGGCACCUUGUCGGAAUGUUGAUAUUUCGAACUUUGCAU